AUUGAACGCUGGCGGCAUGCUUUACACAUGCAAGUCGGACGAGUGGCGAACGGGUGAGUAAUAAAUUGGAACGUACCGAGUAAUGGGGGAUAACCAAUCGAAAGAUUGGCUAAUACCGCAUAUUAUUCGUGCGGCCAAUAUCUGAUUAGCUAGUUGUGGAGGAAAAGGCCUACCAAGGCGACGAUCAGUAGCGGGUCUGAGAGGAUGAUCCGCCCCACUGGGACUGAGACACGGCCCAGACUCCUACGGGAGGAAGCAGUGGGGAAUUUUGGACAAGGGGCGCAAGCCUGAUCCAGCCAUGCCGCGUGUCUGAAGAAGGCCUUCGGGUUGUAAAGGACUUUUGUUAGGGAAGCGGUACCGAAAGAAUAAGCACCGGCUAACUACGUGCCAGCAGCCGCGGUAAUUC
rnacentral:rRNA from 1 species